CGCGCCCAUCGUCUAGAGGCCUAGGACACUGCCCUUUCACGGCGGCAACCGGGGUUCGAAUCCCCGUGGGCGUGCCAA
rnacentral:tRNA from 1 species